AAAAUAUGAAAUUAAAUUUCUAAUUUUAAAACGUCAUUUUCCUAAUUUAAUGCUAUUUUUGGUAUUUUAUAACCAUUUUUGUAAAUAAUCCAUCUUGCGUAGAUUAAAACUAUUUAAAGUAAUUUUAUGCACAUAGAGCAAUUUUAUGCAUAUUUGAAUUCUCAUUUUGCUCAUGGGGGUCCUGUCCCGGGGCGUGAUAACAAGGCCAUGUAAUAUUAUUUGCCCGACUUGUAUCGGGUUUAUAUUUUCCGCGUUUAUUUUCAAGUCAUUUCAAUUUCUUGGAUGUUUACUUACGCGCUGCUUUUCAUUAAUUUGAGUGUAAAUUUCUCUUCUAAAUUAUGUUAGGAUUAGUCUAGACAUUAAAAGAAAAAAAAAACUACAAAAACAUUUGCAUGGACACUUAGUGGUUUCAUAAAGAUUAUAAUUGGUAAUCAAGAUUGUGUGGCCAUUUAGAUAAACAACUUUCCAAGUUAGUGGUACCGCAAGGGCGUUAAUAGAAACAUUGGCGUAAACAAGUCCCCGUUCCUAGAAAUCUCUGGUUGCGUAGGAAUCAAGACAACACUCCCGUGUCUUGAUUGGUUUCUAGCCGACCC
rnacentral:lncRNA from 1 species